rnacentral:rRNA from 1 species
GUGCCUAACACAUGCAAGUCGAACGCGAGGCGCCCUUUCGGGGGCGUAGUAGAGUGGCGCACGGGUGAGUAACACGUAGACAACCUGCCUUCGAGCCCGGGAUAACCUUUCGAAAGAAGGGCUAAUACCGGAUAACACCGAGGGGCGCAUGCCUCUUGGUUGAAAGGCUUGCUACUCGAAGAGGGGUCUGCGGGACAUUAGCUAGUUGGUGGGGUAACGGCCUACCAAGGCUCUGAUGUCUAGCGGGUCUGAGAGGAUGAUCCGCCACACUGGAACUGAGACACGGUCCAG